ensembl:lncRNA LINC00836 long intergenic non-protein coding RNA 836
ACAGUGAAACGAGCUUGCAUGAGAGCAUCCCAGGACCACUGAACAUUCAGAGAACAGCCAGUUGUAAGGGGUAAAAUAAAUUGGAGAAGAGAACAUCCACAUGGAUUAAGUCCCAAGCUCACCCUUUGUUAGUGAGAAUGUAGUCACGUGGCCAUACCUACUACAAGAUGAAGUCUCACUCUUGUUGCCCAGGCUGGAGUGCAGUGGUGUGAUCUCGGCUCACCACAACCUCCACCUCACAGGUUCAAGCGAUUCUCCUGCCUUAGCCUCCCGAGUAGCUGGGAUUACAGUUCAAACUGUUGUUACGAGUGUGUCAUAACCAUUUGGUUAUACCUGAUUCCAGGCUUCAUCAUUUACAGCUGUAAGUGAUAUAAGACAGAGUUUCCCCAUGUUGGCCAGGAUGGUCUGAAUCUCUUGACCUCGUGAUCCACCCGCCUCAGCCUCCCAAAGUGCUGGGAUUACAGGCGUGAGCCACCGUGCCCGGCCUCAGGUCUCAAAUUCAGGUUUUUGCUGCUAUUGGCAGUGGCUUGUUGCAAAUAUUUAUUGAAGAUUUCAAGAGUAGUAACUGAAAAACCGUAUAAGACUCAGCCUGCCUGCACCCAGGUGAAAUAAACAGCAUUUUUGCUCACACAUAGCCUGUUUGGUGGUCUCUUCACAUGGAUGCGCAUGAAAUUUGGUGCUGUGACUCGGAUCCGGAGACCUCCCUUGGGAGAUAAAAUCCCCUGUCCUCCUGCUCUUUGCUCCGUGAAAAAGAUCCACCUACGACCUCAAGUCCUCAGACCCACCAGCCCAAGGAACAUCUCACCAAUUUUAAAUCAGCAAAAUGACAUGAAUGACUGAAAAAGCAUGUGGAGCACAAGACUCAAGAACUAAGUGAAAGGACUCACACUUCCUGAUUUCAAGUAAAGCUACAGCAAUCAAGACGUGGCAUUGAUGUAAGAAUAGACACAUCAAUGAAUGAAACAGAAUACAUCUUCCAGAAAUAAAUUCACACAAAUAUAGUCAAGAGGUUUUUUGUGUGCUAAAGUGUAUAUAAUAUUUACCAUUUUAACCAUUUUUAAGUGCACAGUUCAGAAGCAUUAAGAAUAAACAAUGUUGUAUAACCAUCACCAUUAUCCAGUUCCAGAAUUUUUCAUCACCUCACACAGAAACUCUGUACCUAUUAUCAACAAUAAAUUUUCAUUCCCCCCUUGCCCUCAGUCUCUGGUAACCACUAUUGAACUUUCUGUUUCUAUGAAUUUGCCCCUUCUCAGUGCCUAAUAUGAGUGGAAUAAUACAAUAUGGGUCCUUUGUGCCUAGUUUAUUUCACUUACUGUAAUGUUUUCAAGGUUCAUCCAUGUUAUAAUAUGGAUCAGAAUUUUAUUUCUUUUCAAGCAUGAAUAAUAGUCCAUGGUAUGUCUAUACCACAUUGUUUAUCCAUUCAUCAGCUGAUGGAUAUUUGGGGGUUGUUUCUAUCUUUUGGCUAUUGUAAAUGAUGAUGUUAUGAACAAUGGUGUAUAAUGUCUGUUUGAGCACUGCUUUGAAUUGUUUGGGGUAUAUACUUAGGAGCGGAAUUACUGGAUCAUAUGUCAAUUCUAUGUUUAAUUUUUGAGGAACUGUCGAGCUGUCUUUCACAGCAGCUGCAUAAUUUUACAUUCCCACCACAAUGCAUAAGAGCUUCAGUUUCUCAAAAUCUUUACCAACAUUUAUUUUUCUUUUUAAAAAUAUAUAAUAGCCAUACUAAUAGUAUAAAGUAAUAUUUCAUUGUGCAUUUGAUUUGCAUUUCCCUAAUGAUAACUGAUGUUGAGCAUCUUUUCACGUGCUUGUUGACCAUUUGUAUAUCUUCUUUUGAGAUAUGUCUAAUCAAGUCCUUUGUCCAUUUUUUAAUUGGGCUGGGUAUUAUUCUUCUGUUAUUGUUGAGUUGCAGGAGUUCUUUAUAUAUUCUGCAUAAAAGUUCCUUAUCAUAUAUUGAUUUUCAAAAUCUCUCUCCUAUU